AACUAGUUUUACUGAUGUUUCCUGGGCCACAAACGGGGUGUUUUAAUGUAAACUUGUUAUUUUUAUCUGUUUUAGGACAAAUUCAUAAAAAUAUUCACAUUUGUUUUUAUGUCAUCUUUCUUAGCUCAUGUCUAUUUCCUUGUCUUUCUGUUGCUCUAAAAAUGUGUACAUAAUGUACAUAUGAUUUUUAGUCUAAAAAAAUACUUGUGCAAGUUGGAGACUAUUUGUUGUUAUGUUUAAAUUUGAAACAUUUUUGUAGAGUUUAGCUUUUUUUACUGAAAUCUAUUUUUUCUAUUCUUAUCCUUUUUUUCUUUGUUUAGAUUAGUUGUUGUUGUUGACUAUUUUUAUUGUGUACAUAUGUUCUGUUUAAGACAGAAAUCCACUAUAUAUACAUGCAGUUGAAUUGAUGUACCCGGUAUAUAACAGUAGCCCUAAAAUGUGUGAGGGAAAAUGUACCCACUUCAGAAUUCAGUGGAAAAAGCAAGAAGAAUUGAACAGGACAAAACAUAAGUGAUGGAAAAGAUAUUAAGUGAUUUUGCCAAGGGAUGAAAAAAGCAGCAUGUUUUGUUCUGUAUGUGGCGCGUUUCUCUAGCAAUGAGAUUAGAAACAGUUGACUUGUAUGCCUUUAAUGCCCAAGUUUGAUUCCUUCUUGGAGAAAUCUCUCAGGGGUCUCCGGAUAGAUUCUGAAUCUUGCUGUGGUUACUGACUUGUGGUGACAACACAGUAAUAGGAUUUCUGUGGAAGAACAGACAGUGUACAAAGCGAGAUUAUUUCUGCAGAAGAAAGUGAAUUAAAAGGGACACAGACAAAUGAGGCCUGAAUACAAGUGUCGUGAUAUGGACAUGACAAAAGAGCAUUGUUUUCUCCACACAAUUUUGUGAUGUUCUGUUAAGAAGCAGCAAUCAAUUUGAUACGGAAACAGGAUAUAAAGAGACAAGGGCUUUCUGCAAAAUGAAUUGUACGUGCAUAUAUAGAGCUCUGUUUUAUACGGUAUUGCUACUUGUUGAAAGUUUUCUUUGUAAUUUCCCUUUUUCUUUGUUAGAACUACUCAAUGAGCCCUGUAUUCAUAGGCUUAAUGAUGUACACAUACAUGUAUCAGAACCACUCACCAUCAGUCAAUAAAAUUGUUUUUAUUUU
rnacentral:misc_RNA from 1 species